GCGCCGAGCAGUCGAUGGCUCCGGAGGAGGCGCGUUUGCGGGUCUGGUGGCCUCGCGGGCUGCACGCUGCCUCCUGCACGCGCUGGGCGCUGGGGUCUGCAGAAAGAGAAGGCGGCCCUGGGCUCCGUGCAGCCCUAAGCGUGUAGUUCCGGUCGGCCCACCACACUUUACCGUUUCCCAAGCCCACUGGCGCGCUUGGUCCGUGGCGGCUGCCUCCCUUCACUAAGGCAUCCUUCCGCUCGCGGCAGGGAUUCUGUCCGUUACUCCCGUGGGAACCCAGUGUGGUGGAUGUGGCAACUGAAUCCUUCCUCUUUGAUACUUCCUCCCUCUGGUGGCAACACUUUGGAGACCUCCGAGCCCAUUCUUCCUCCUCACUGUGGGACCUUUAAAGGUACUGAAGUCCUCUUGCUGACCUCUAUGGAGUGAGGUGCUCCGAAGCUUGGCUCUGGCUCCCACCAGCUACCUACUGCCCGGGUCUUCUUGCCUAUCUGGAACCUUUACCUCCACAAAGUCCUGCCAGCAACACUGCCUCAGGAAGCUGCAGCGCCGCUGUUCUGUGGAGGCGCAUGCCCAGUGAGCGAGCGUUUCUCUGCUUCUCUCCAGCUCCAUGCAGAUUUUCAGCAAACCUGUUCUUUCUCGUUUUGUGAUAAAAUUUCACUACAGAAUCCAGACAGGUCUCAAAUUCAAAAUCUUCUUGUCUCAGCCUCCAUACAUAUUGGGAUUACAACAUGAACCAUCAUGUCCAGGCCAACCUUAUUAGAAAACUAAAUUACAUUCAUUUUGUGUGUAUGUGUGGGCACGGGUGCCGGGAUGGGCACGCAGAGGUCAAAGGACAGCUUGUAGAGUCAUUGGUUCUCUCCUACUGUGUGUAAAGCUGGGGACAGAACCUAGGCCAUGAGGCUUGGUGACAAGUAUCUUUACCUGCUGAGCCAUCUUAAUGGCCGAACACAUUCAGCUUUAGAUGAAAUGCAUGGCAGUUCUGUCUUCAACAUGUACUGAAUCUGACCCCAUCUCUCUGCAUAUCCUGCAUACCCACAAUACCUCUGGAACACAGGGGCCCAGAUUGUUUUCAUCAUGCAAGAAUACAUCACAGACUUCACUAGUUUCCCAGUGCACUCUAAUGGAAUUCUGAGUCCUUAGCCCUCUCUCACCAUGUCCUAGCAACUUCCUGGAAACUCCUGUCAGUCACUCUACCCUUUGGCAGCCUUCACAUUGGAGGCCUUGUCCAAAGGACUUGCAUUCUUUUUUUUUUUUUUAAAGAUUUAUUUAUUACGUAUACAGUGUUCUGCCUGCAAGCCGGAAGAGGGCACCAGAUUGAAUUGUAGAUGGUUGUGAGCCACCAUGUGGUUGCUGGGAAUUGAACUCAGGACCUCUGGAAGAGCAGGCAGUGAAAUUAAGUGCUCUUAACCUCUAAGCCAUCUCUCCAGCCCUUAUUCUUACUCUUAAUAGCACCUCUCUAGGUUUUUUAAGGCCCCUUCACAUUUGUGCCACUUAUGUGCUUGUGAACAAGCAAAUGUACACACACACACACACACACACACCCCGUUUUCUUUCUAAUGCUCUCCCUCCCACUUCAUGGCCUGACCUUGGUCUUGAGACCUUCCUAAUAAAACUCAUUCCUGAAAGAUAA